rnacentral:rRNA from 1 species
UACGUAGGGGGCUAGCGUUGUCCGGAUUUACUGGGCGUAAAGGGCGCGUAGGCGGUCAGCACAAGUCAGUUGUGAAAUCUCCGGGCUUAACUCGGAAAGGUCAACUGAUACUGUGCGACUAGAGUGCAGAAGGGGCAACUGGAAUUCUCGGUGUAGCGGUGAAAUGCGUAGAUAUCGAGAGGAACACCUGCGGCGAAGGCGGUUGCUGGCUGACACGUGACGCUGGAUGCGCGAAAGCCAGGGAGCGAACGGGAUUAGAGUACCCGA